GACUGAGUAAGGUUUUAUAUUUUACUGACUGAGUAAGGUUUUAUAUUUUACUGACUGAGUAAGGUUUCAUAUUUUACUGACUGAGUAAGGUUUUAUAUUUUACUGACUGAGUAAGGUUUCAUAUUUUACUGACUGAGUAAGGUUUUAUAUUUUAC